ACUGUCAUAGCAACAGCAAGCUGGGCUCCUCUUCCCCACACGCGCUUAAUGUCCUGCCUGGACUAUCAUAGCACCGGGGAGGCUGCCUCCCCCUCAUUUUAGUCCA